CCUACGGGAGGCUGCAGUGGGGAAUAUUGGACAAUGGGGGCAACCCUGAUCCAGCCAUGCCGCGUGUGUGAAGAAGGCCCUCGGGUUGUAAAGCACUUUCAGUGAGGAAGAACGCCUGGUGGUUAAUACCCAUCAGGAAAGACAUCACUCACAGAAGAAGCACCGGCUAACUCCGUGCCAGCAGCCGCGGUAAUACGGAGGGUGCGAGCGUUAAUCGGAAUUACUGGGCGUAAAGCGCGCGUAGGUGGCUUGAUAAGCCGGUUGUGAAAGCCCCGGGCUCAACCUGGGAACGGCAUCCGGAACUGUCAAGCUAGAGUGCAGGAGAGGAAGGUAGAAUUCCCGGUGUAGCGGUGAAAGGCGUAGAGAUCGGGAGGAAUACCAGUGGCGAAGGCGGCCUUCUGGACUGACACUGACACUGAGGUGCGAAAGCGUGGGUAGCAAACAGGAUUAGAUACCCCAGUAGUC
rnacentral:rRNA from 1 species